UACGUAGGGGGCAAGCGUUGUUCGGAGUUACUGGGCGUAAAGCGCACGUAGGCGGCUUGGUAAGUUAGAGGUGAAAGCCUGGAGCUCAACUCCAGAAUUGCCUUUAAGACUGCCGAGCUAGCAGGUGAGAGAGGUGAGUGGAAUUCCGAGUGUAGAGGUGAAAUUCGUAGAUAUUCGGAAGAACACCAGUGGCGAAGGCGGCUCACUGGCUCAUACUGGACGCUGAGGUGCGAAAGCGUGGGGAGCAAACAGG
rnacentral:rRNA from 1 species